rnacentral:rRNA from 1 species
GAUGAACGCUGGCGGCGUGCCUAAUACAUGCAAGUCGAGCGAAGCGGGGACGGGUGAGUACUACGUGGAUAACCUCCUAUAAGACUGGGUUAACUUAGGGAGAGCGGAGCACAACCGGUUACUCAUAGAUGGAUGCGCGCUGCAUUAGCUAGUUGGUAAGGUAACGGCUUACCAAGGCAAGGUUGCAUAGCCGACCUGCGAAGGUAAACGGACACACUGGGACUUAGACACGGGCCAGACUCCAACGGGAGCCAGCAGUGGGGAAUUUGCCGCAAUGGGCGAAAGCCUGACGGAGCAACGCCGCGUGAGUGAGGAAGGUCUUCGGGUCGUAAAACUCUGUUAUCAGGGAAGCGGUACCUAAACAGAAAGCAACGGCUAACUACGGGCCAGCAGCCGCGGUAAUUC